rnacentral:rRNA from 1 species
UACGGGGGGGGCAAGCGUUGUUCGGAAUUACUGGGCGUAAAGGGCUCGUAGGCGGCCAACUAAGUCCGACGUGAAAUCCCCGGGCUCAACCCGGGAACUGCGUCCGAUACUGGCAGGCUUGAAUCCGGGAGAGGGAUGUGGAAUUCCAGGUGUAGCGGUGAAAUGCGUAGAUAUCUGGAGGAACACCGGUGGCGAAGGCGGCACCCUGGACCGGUAUUGACGCUGAUGCGCGAAAGCCAGGGGAGCAAACGGG